CGACUCGGGGAGGUAGUGACAAUAACUAACAAUGCCGGUCCCUUAAGUGGUCCGGCAAUUGGAAUGAGUACAAUCCAAACCCCUUAACGAGGAACAAUUGGAGGGCAAGUCUGGUGCCAGCAGCCGCGGUAAUUCCAGCUCCAAUAGCGUAUAUUAAAGUUGUUGCAGUUAAAAAGCUCGUAGUUGGAUUUCGGGGCCUCGCGUCCCGCCCUGUGGCUCAGGCUGCUGUGGCGGUGCGGGCUUGCGUCGGUUCGGUCCGCCGAGAGGCGUGCACUGUCCGUCGGCCCCUGUGCUCUCGGAGACUCCGACUGCUCUUCAGUGCAGUGGUUGGGGGAUUCGGGACGUUUACUUUGAACAAAUUAGAGUGUUCCAAGCAGGCCGUUCGCUUUGAAUACGUUAGCAUGGAAUAAUGGAAUAGGACCGUCGGUCCUGUUUUGUUGGUUUUCGGGACCGCAGUCAUGGUCGAUAGGGACAGUUGGGGGCAUUCGUAUUCAAUUGUCAGAGGUGAAAUUCUCGGAUUUAUGGAAGACGAACGACUGCGAAAGCAUUUGCCAAGGAUGUUUUCAUUAAUCAAGAACGAAAGUUGGGGGUUCGAAGACGAUCAGAUACCGUCGUAGUCCCAACCAUAAACCAUGCCGGCUAGGGAUCGGCGGGCGUCGGUGGCGACCCCGUCGGCACCUCGCGAGAAAUCCAAGCCUUUGGGUUCCGGGGGGAGUAUGGUCGCAAGGCUGAAACUUAAAGGAAUUGACGGAAGGGCACCACCAGGAGUGGAGCCUGCGGCUUAAUUUGACUCAACACGGGGAACCUCACCAGGUCCGGACAUGGGAAGGAUUGACAGAUCGAGAGCUCUUUCUUGAUUCUAUGGGUGGUGGUGCAUGGCCGUUCUUAGUUGGUGGAGUGAUUUGUCUGGUUGAUUCCGUUAACGAACGAGACCUUAACCUGCUAACUAGUCGCGCCGUUUCCGAACGGCGGCCCGCUCUCUCCCGCCGAGUCGUAGACUUCGGUCGACGCUCGCGCGUGGGGCGUCGGGUCCCCCGAGUGGAGGCGACUUCUUAGAGGGACACUCGGCGUUUCAGCCGAGGGAGGACUGAGGCAAUAACAGGUCUGUGAUGCCCUUAGAUGUUCUGGGCCGCACGCGCGCUACACUGACGGAGGCAGCGAGCGUGUCCUUC
rnacentral:rRNA from 2 species